GCAUAUCAAUAAGCGGAGGAAAAGAAACCAACAGGGAUUGCCCUAGUAACGGCGAGUGAAGCGGCAACAGCUCAAAUUUGAAAUCUGGCUCUCUUUGGGAGUCCGAGUUGUAAUUUGCAGAGGAUGCUUUGGCAUUGGCGGCGGUCUAAGUUCCUUGGAACAGGACAUCACAGAGGGUGAGAAUCCCGUACGUGGUCGCCUGCCCUUGCCGUGUAAAGCUCCUUCGACGAGUCGAGUUGUUUGGGAAUGCAGCUCUAAAUGGGAGGUAAAUUUCUUCUAAAGCUAAAUACUGGCCAGAGACCGAUAGCGCACAAGUAGAGUGAUCGAAAGAUGAAAAGUACUUUGGAAAGAGAGUCAAAAAGCACGUGAAAUUGUUGAAAGGGAAGCGCUUGCAGCCAGACUUGCCCGCAGUUGCUCACCCAGGCUUUUGCCUGGGGCACUCUUCUGCGGGCAGGCCAGCAUCAGUUUGGGCGGUUGGAUAAAGGCCUCUGUCACGUAUCUCCCUUCGGGGUGACCUUAUAGGGGAGGCGUAAUGCAACCAGCCCGGACUGAGGUCCGCGCAUCUGCUAGGAUGCUGGCGUAAUGGCUGUAAGCGGCCCGUCUUGAAACACGGACCAAGGAGUCUAACAUCUAUGCGAGUGUUUGGGUGUCAAGCCCGGGCGCGUAAUGAAAGUGAACGGAGGUGGGAACCCUUUGGGUGCACCAUCGACCGAUCCUGAUGUCUUCGGAUGGAUUUGAGUAAGAGCAUAGCUGUUGGGACCCGAAAGAUGGUGAACUAUGCUUGAAUAGGGUGAAGCCAGAGGAAACUCUGGUGGAGGCUCGCAGCGGUUCUGACGUGCAAAUCGAUCGUCAAAUUUGGGCAUAGGGGCGAAAGACUAAUCGAACCAUCUAGUAGCUGGUUCCUGCCGA
rnacentral:rRNA from 1 species